CUGAAUUGAUGCCGUGUAGAUUGUCUGCCAUCGCUACUAUGUAGCUUCUCUGAGUAUUUGAUCUUAUUACAUUUUCUCUUUGGUUGCGAUGAUGAUGUUGCUAAUAUAUAUGUCUGGACUUAUGAGAUUAUUCAAUCUUUGAAAUGAUUGUGCAACCUUCUGAGCUUACUAUCAAUAUUAAGAACCUGUUUUUUU
rnacentral:sRNA from 1 species